rnacentral:lncRNA from 1 species
GAGCGGAGCUGCUGGUGAGCUCCGGAGUAGUGACGUCCGUGGAGGAUGGCCGCGUCACAAUGAACCGGGUCUCGCUGACGGCUCCGCCAGGGCAACUUUUUGUAAGAUGCUCCAAAGCAGGGAGUGAGUGAGGAGGUGGCGAAAUCAUUGUGUGGAGACAAAAGGGACUACCACCACCUGCCGUGCGCCGCCCACACUACCCUCGUCCCGGCCUCCACCUCAGGAAUGUUGGUGACAUGGACGCCAUGGCCCUGGCCAAGGUGAGCCUGGCGCUUGGGGCUGGCCGUAACCGUGUGGGUGAACCAAUCAACUAUGCUGUCGGCAUCGUCCUGCAUAAAGUUGUGGGGGAGAGUGUGAAGGAAGGGAAGCUUGGGCGGAGUUGCACCACGACGGACCACUACCUGAGACUGUCCUUGCCAACACCCAGGCUGCUCUCAUUAUCAACCCCAAUGCCACACUUUGAAGAAGUAUCUCUGAUUGCUGCCCGAGUUGUCUAGAGAUGUCUUUAAAUUACAGGACCUUAUUGUAAGGCUCCAUUUUAUUUGACCGACUACUUUUGCUUCUCAUCUCUCAGGAGAACCACUUUCUGCUUCUCCCACCUAAUAUCCUUACCAGUGAGAGAAAGUCUGACUGAUAACCAGCAGGAUAUCUCAGCAGGGCGACAGGACAAGCUCUAGUAGACAAAAGUUGACGAAAGAAUGCCAGUGUGACGCCACCUUAACUUUUUCUUGGUAUUAAAGCCAACACAUGGAAGUUUUUAUGUUUAAUAAUGAUAAAGUUAAGUUUUAUAUCCUUCAGACCGAAAAUAAAAUAGAUUAUACCGACAGUCGUAAUUGCAUGGGUGUAGCUGUGACCUUCAGGAGACAUUAUAGGACCGAUAUUUUGUCCUAGCCAUUCAGUCUAGAAAUAUUGUAUUGGUUGUUCAUGUAGUAUUGGGAGUUCAUGUAGAACUGUUAUCAUACCAGCGUUAGUACAGCUUGAGUUAGGAUAGAAUUAUGAUGACCACUGGGCGCCUGACUCAUGCAUACGUUGAUGAAAAAUUGCCCAUUAGUUUCGGCGUCGUUUGUCCAAGGUAUAGCUUAUUUUCCUACGGUAUGAUUUUAAAUAUUUUGUGAGACUUUGUCAGUGAAUGUACAGUUGUGUAAACUGUGGUUAUAGGUGUGUUGGGGUGAGUUAUGGUGCUGUGUGGACUAAGUACUUUCAAUGACUUAAAGUUUUAAUCUAAAAUUAUUUUGCAAUCUAAUCUAAGUAAAUAAAUGGUGAUUUUAUUGCUAACUCAUAUUCUUAUUACGUAAAUUUAAUUUGAGGUUACUUUUUAAUUUGACUAUUAACCUUUUCUCUCAGUGACAGUACUUUUACAGAAAUGGCAUUUUUAGUACCUUUGCAUCAGGUACAGUAGAUGACUGCGCUAAGAUAGGUGGUGCUUAUUUCAGAUUCACGGUCCACCCUGCAUUUAUUGGUUGUUAAAUGACCACCUUUUGUUUAGUAUAGUUUGUAUUAAUCAAUCACUCUGUAGCAUGAACCAAAGAAUGCUUUGUUCAUUAAUAUACAACCAAUGUAUCAUUUACCUGUAAUCGGCAAUAAAAAAUAGUAAUCUAA